GAUGAAGAACGUAGCGAAAUGCGAUAAUUAAUGUGAAUUGCAGAAUUCCGUGAAUCAUCGAGUCUUUGAACGCACAUUGCGCCUCAUGGCAUUCCGUGAGGCAUGCCCAUCUCAGCGGUAGAAAAUAUUCUCAAAUUUUAGUUUUGUGCUAAAAUUUGGAUCAUGUCAAGGAAGCUAUUACUAUUAUUGUGAUCGCUCUUUGGAAAUUGAUAGGUCUUUGAGUUGCUACUCAUAGAACGUGAUGAAUCUUUCUUCGUUCUAUUGUAAUUCACUCUGGUAGUCCUAAAACUUGUAUGCCUGUGGCAUAUCUUGUAAUUUGACCUGAGAUUGGGUAGGGAUACCCGCUGAACUUAAGCAUAUCAAUAAGCGGAGGA
rnacentral:misc_RNA from 1 species